rnacentral:rRNA from 1 species
AGCGAACGCUGGCGGCAGGCCUAACACAUGCAAGUCGAACGGACCUUUCGGGGUUAGUGGCGGACGGGUGAGUAACACGUGGGAACGUGCCUUUAGGUUCGGAAUAGCUCCUGGAAACGGGUGGUAAUGCCGAAUGUGCCCUUCGGGGGAAAGAUUUAUCGCCUUUAGAGCGGCCCGCGUCUGAUUAGCUAGUUGGUGAGGUAAAGGCUCACCAAGGCGACGAUCAGUAGCUGGUCUGAGAGGAUGACCAGCCACAUUGGGACUGAGACACGGCCCAAACUCCUACGGGAGGCAGCAGUGGGGAAUUUUGCGCAAUGGGCGAAAGCCUGACGCAGCCAUGCCGCGUGGAUGAUGAAGGUCUUAGGAUUGUAAAAUCCUUUCACCGGUGAAGAUAAUGACUGUAGCCGGAGAAGAAGCCCCGGCUAACUUCGUGCCAGCCGCCGCAGUAAGAC